UUAGCCUACGGGACGCAGCAGUGAGGAAUAUUGGUCAAUGGGCGAGAGCCUGAACCAGCCAAGUCGCGUGAGGGACGACGGCCCUACGGGUUGUAAACCUCUUUUGCCGGGGGACAAACGGCGGCACGCGUGCCGUCCUGAGGGUACCCGGAGAAAAAGCAUCGGCUAACUCCGUGCCAGCAGCCGCGGUAAUACGGAGGAUGCGAGCGUUAUCCGGAUUUAUUGGGUUUAAAGGGUGCGUAGGCGGGAUGCCAAGUCAGCGGUCAAAUACGGGGGCUCAACCUCCGUCCGCCGUGGAAACUGGG
rnacentral:rRNA from 1 species